rnacentral:lncRNA from 1 species
UGGCAGCUGUCACUCCUCAUGACUUCAUUGAGCACAUCUUGCGCAAGCUGCCCCAGCAGCGGGAGAAGCUGUCUCUGAUCCGCAAGCAUGCUCAGACCUUCAUUGCUCUGUGUGCCACCGGAGGAAGGAUCUCAGGAAGUCACCAGCAUCUCACCUCUCCAGGUGGGCAAUUAACGAUGGCGAGGGCACACCCUCACCCCUGAGCGUGCCUUCUGCACCAGCAUAUUGCUUGUUGGCAUUUUUGAUCAAGAGACUUAACAGACUGCUGAGAAAUUUGUACCUGGUUUUUAUUUGUUAAAAUAAUAUUACGUACAAAUUUUAC